AAAGCAGUUCCCUAAGCUCUGUGCAUUUGUUAUUCAAUCUACAGAAAAUCGUCAGCUAGGAACAAAGUGAAACGGAAAAAGACCUGAUUUACGACUAUGAUGUGGUUGAACCAGGCUCACACUAUCAGCAUCCCGAAGACACUUGAAUGGGUUCAAGGUUUCUUCCCUGUAACUUUAUGAAAAGAAGACAAGAUGAUUAGGUAGCAAAUUUGGAAAAAUAGAAAGGAUUGUCAGCAAUCAUAACCAUAACCGUACAGAAUGGAACAUAUUAAAGAAAAGACAACAAUCAAAAGAAUGUUCCUCACUUACAAGGACACCCAAGUGCGAGGUCACAAAAAGCCAAAGACGAUUACAGCAUUUGAUGUCCCACAUAUUGUCCACCAUGCAACCAAAAGAUUGGCAGCUAAUGGCAACAUGGAGCAAGA